AGUCUAAAUCUUACUGAUUAAUCUGUGAAAGCCACUUUCAUUCCGUGUAGAAACAUAUCGUCAUAGCAAUAUUUGGUAGCUUCUAUAUGUAAUAUUAUAUACAUUUCAUAUGUAGGUCAUGGUCAUAUUAAUUUGGUUAAAUGUAUAUAUGUUAAUGCCAUAGAGCAUGUUUCUGGCUAAGGAACGCCUUUCUGUAUGGCGUGAUUUUGCUGUUUUACUCUGCAUAGCGAGAUAGCAGGAUUAUUGACAUCUCAAGGCCAGAUGAAGAUUGUAUUAAGAAAAUUGCUUCCUGGAGGUCAAAAAGUUUUGAGUUUUGACUUUUUAGCCAGUCGAAAGAAGCUGAAGACCCUGACGGUUGAUACUGACAUGUUUAUAAGAAUAAAGGAGAACAAUGCACCUACAGUUUACAGUUUGUCAACAAGCCAUAAAAAUUCGUACAGACAAAUAUAUCACAUGAGACUUACACAUCUAACCUAGAGGAUGAUUCUUGAUGAUCACUAAAAAAAUCCAGACUGCGUUUAACAUCCUUUCUAAUCUUCCGCUGUAAAUGUGGAUAAAUUAAAUUCUUGAAUACCCAAUGCCAAAGUUCCUGAAACUAGAAACCUCAGUGAUGUAAACUUUGCAAUGCUGUAAAACUUAAGACUCAAGAUAAAAGAAACCUGUCAUAAAAUUAAAAACUUCAGACAUGUAGUUAAUACGUACAGCAAAAUGAACUUUAGUAAAAAUUGACUACAAAAA